GGUGCUUCACCUUGCGGAAAUUUAGCUUCUCUAAAGGUGGAGAGACUGCAAAAAAGGAGCCCCUAGAACGAUUACUGGUUGCGAGACCCAGAAGGCGAGAGCCAUACCUUUGCUCCCUGCAGAGUCACGGCAACACAUGGCCAGCUACAAUUCUAUUUUGUAUUCUCUUCUGAUAGAAGUCAGCAUGAAUCAAGCCUAGAAACUUGUCAUCUGAGGCAAAGAAUAUGCUGUUGACCUUAUCUCCAGUCUCAAGAUGGCCUAUAGAUUUUCAGGGAGCAUAAAGCCUAAAGGAAUUGAUCUGUGCAUGCAGGGGAUCAGUGGUCAACUCUUUACUUCAAAAGACAUUUUUGCAGAAUGGCAUUAGCCAUUUGCAUGCAAUGCAAAUGAGGAAAAUGAGGAAAGCAACCUUUCUUGUGCUGCAUUGCUUUAGUUUGCGAAAGAGCAUGUUGACAAUAUUGUUCUGAAUUAAAAGAUGUUCUGAGCCCAAGAUGUGAUAAAUAUGUUACUCCAAGAAGAGGAAUAAAGGGAGU